GUUUCGGCUCGGUACUGAAGUUAACACAUUAAGUACUCCGCCUGAGUAGUACGUACGCAAGUAUGAAACUUAAAGGAAUUGACGGGACCCCGCACAAGCGGUGGAUCAUGUUGUUUAAUUCGAAGAUACACGAAAAACCUUACCAGGUCUUGACAUAAUUUUGCGACAUUAUAGAAAUAUAAUGAAGGUUAUCAGAAUUACAGGUGGUGCAUGGUUGUCGUCAGCUCGUGUCGUGAGAUGUUAGGUUAAGUCCUAAAACGAGCGCAACCCUUGUCGUUAGUUGCGACCACGUAAUGGUGAGCACUUUAGCGAGACUGCCAAUGAAAAAUUGGAGGAAGGUGAGGAUUACGUCAAAUCAUCAUGCCCCUUAUGAUCUGGGCUACAAACGUGAUACAAUGGCUGUUACAAAGAGUAGCUACAACGUGAGUUUUUAGCCAAUCUCAAAAAAACAGUCUCAGUUCGGAUUGAAGUCUGCAACUCGACUUCAUGAAGUUGGAAUCGCUAGUAAUCGCGAAUCAGCAUGUCGCGGUGAAUACGUUCUCGGGGUUUGUACACACCGCCCGUCAAACCACGAAAGUUGAUAAUACCCGAAAGCGGUCGCCUAACUUCGUCAGAAGAGGGAGCCGUCUAAGGUAGGAUCGAUGAUUGGGGUUAAGUCGUAACAAGGUAUCCCUACCGGAAGGUGGGGAUGGAUCACCUCCUUU
rnacentral:rRNA from 1 species